rnacentral:tmRNA from 1 species
GGGGGUGUCAUGGUUUCGACGGGUAAAGUGAAGACCUGAGUGCAUGCCGAGGUUUCAGACACCUCGUAAAUCCUCUGAACUAUAAUCAAACGCAAACGAUAACUUUGCGCUGGCUGCCUAAGGAACUUAGUUCCUCGCGGGCACCCGUCUGUUGAUCAGACCCGCCUGAGCCGGGUUAACAGGCGACGAAAAUUCAGGCUGGCUUGUUCGAGUGUCGCGGUAGAACAGGCGAGAUUUACGUGACUGGUCCGAGAUGGGCUGUCUGCUGGCCGUUGAUCGGGCGAGGAGAAAAAAACAGCAGAAUAAGCAUGUAGAGCUUGGGUGGGAUCUGUAUUCGGACGGGAGUUCGACUCUCCCCACCUCCACUG